GGGGAAUAUUGCACAAUGGGCGCAAGCCUGAUGCAGCCAUGCCGCGUGUAUGAAGAAGGCCUUCGGGUUGUAAAGUACUUUCAGCGGGGAGGAAGGGAGUAAAGUUAAUACCUUGCUCAUGACGUACUCGCAGAAGAGCCUUUCUGACAC
rnacentral:rRNA from 1 species